AGGGGAAUCCGGUGCGAAUCCGGAACUGUCCCGCAACGGUAUGAAGUGUCCGGCUGCCGGACAUGAAGUCCGAGGCCC
rnacentral:ncRNA from 1 species